rnacentral:rRNA from 1 species
UACGUAGGGUGCGAGCGUUAAUCGGAAUUACUGGGCGUAAAGCGUGCGUAGGCGGUUCGUUAAGUCAGCUGUGAAAGCCCCGGGCUCAACCUGGGAACUGCGGUUGAAACUGGCGAACUAGAAUCUGGCAGAGGGGGGUGGAAUUCCACGUGUAGCAGUGAAAUGCGUAGAGAUGUGGGGGAACACCGAUGGCGAAGGCAGCCCCCUGGGCUGAGAUUGACGCUCAGGCACGAAAGCGUGGGGAGCAAACAGG